UACGUAGGGGGCAAGCGUUAUCCGGAUUUACUGGGUGUAAAGGGAGCGUAGACGGCGAUGCAAGCCAGAUGUGAAAGCCCGGGGCUCAACCCCGGGACUGCUCUUGGAACUGCAUGGCUGGAGUACAGGAGGGGCAGGCGGAAUUCCUAGUGUAGCGGUGAAAUGCGUAGAUAUUAGGAGGAACACCGGUGGCGAAGGCGGCCUGCUGGACUGUGACUGACGUUGAGGCCCGAAGGCGUGGGGAGCAAACAGG
rnacentral:rRNA from 1 species